GGCUCCGUGACUUAAUGGUUACGGCUUCUGCCUCACAAGCAGAAGGUUCAGGGAUCAAAUCCCGGCCGGUACCU
rnacentral:tRNA from 1 species